AUGAUGAAUNGUACCUGCCCAGUGAUUAUUUAAAUGGCCGCAGUAUUCUGACUGUGCGAAGGUAGCAUAAUGAUUCGCUCUUUAAUUUGGGGCUAGUAUGAAAGGUUUGACGAAAGUAUAACUGUCUCUUGCAAGUUUGUUAAAAUUUUACUUAUAAGUGAAAAGGCUUAUAUAUAAUUAAUAGACAAGAAGACCCUAUCGAGUUUUAAUUUAUGGAUAAUUGAAUAUUAGAAUUUUUUUAUUAUUCAUUUUUUUGGUUGGGGCAACUAAGGAGCAUGUAAAGCCUCUUUAUUUAUUUUAAGGCUUAUUUGUUUUGAUCCAUUUAAGUAUGAUUAAUAGAAUAAAUUACCGUAGGGAUAACAGCAUAAUUUUUUUCUGAGAGUUCUUAUUGGAGAAGAAGUUUAUGACCUCGAUGUUGGAUCAAAACAUCCUAUUGGUGCAGGAGCUAAUGAGGGUUGGUCUGUUCGACCAUUAAAGUUUUA
rnacentral:rRNA from 1 species